rnacentral:rRNA from 1 species
UGAGGAAUAUUGGUCAAUGGGUGCAAGCCUGAACCAGCCAUCCCGCGUGAAGGACGACUGCCCUAUGGGUUGUAAACUUCUUUUGUAUAGGGAUAAACCUUUCCACGUGUGGGAAGCUGAAGGUACUAUACGAAUAAGCACCGGCUAACUCCGUG